UCUCUUCGCCGACACACCACUUCCUCUCCCGAGCUCUUCGUUUUCCUCCACCCGACGGUGUCGCCCUCCCUCGCGUCGUUCCUCUUCUUCCACGGGUACAAAAGCCCUCGGCCAAGGAAGUUUGCGUCGAUUCUCUUUCCUCUUCCCCCCACUCUCCGCCGACUCACCCCUCACGCCUUCUCCACCGCGAGCACCAUCUUUUUCCCUGACGCGUCGCCAGCAUCGAUCGACGGCUGGCCUCGUGCCCUAGCGUCGGCGCAGAUCCAACACACUCUUCUUGAGCAUGCCCUAGCGUGGAUCCACUGCCCCUCUUCCAAUCCGGAACCGUGCCCUAAUUCCCAUCUCUAGCCUUCGCUAGUUUCACACCUCAGCGCCGCUGUCUCUCUGCUCUAGCGUUGAUCACUGUCGACCCCUGUUCUUCUCCAGCUCGUCGUCGCCAGUCGAGCCUAAAUAUGCUGAUGCGCGCCACUGCCUCCCCCCUCUUCAUUUUUCCGACAGCCGGAUUCACUGCCUUGACAUCUCUCCUUACUACCUGACGGCUGCCGUCAAUCCACUUCGAGCCGGUGAAACCUCAAGUAUUAGCAGGGACACGCUGUGGUGCCCUAGGUCUACCACCCACAAUUUUCCUUCAUCUCCUUCACUGGUGACAACCAGAAAUAAUUCUCUUCCCUAUGCUAGAUCUUUACUGUACAGAUCUGAGGUGUUUUAGGUCAGAGAAAGCAACACCAGGUUGCUCUAGCCACUAUUUUCCGACAGCAAGUACAUCCGGCGGUGACUCAACAAUCGGGCAUUCAGGUUUGGGGCUUUUGGAAUUUGCUGUGUCAAUCCUGCUUCAGCUGAGGACAUCAAGGAAGAGGUUGCUAAGGACUUUGAUUCGAGACGAGCGUCUCGACGUGGGGUCUAUUUCGGAGACGAUCUCCACUUUUUGAGGUUGAGGCCGUCAGGAGGUUCCAGUUGCUAGUCCCCUGGUCACGAGAGUUUACGUGUUAGUCUUGUGGUUUUCUAUUUGUUUUGAUCUUAUAUAUGGUUUUGCACUUUAGAUUGUAUGGUUUUUCUUAAGACAUUGUGAUGGUUGGAUUUUUGCUGGCUUAGUAGAUUUUUAUUUA